CAAUCGGUGACCGGCCAGUCGGUGGUCGCCGAUUCCGGAUUGGCGGCGGAUUUCCGUAUCGGCCGGGCGCAGUUCGACCAGGUGCCGAUCGUC
rnacentral:tRNA from 1 species